GAAUAUUGGACAAUGGGGGGAACCCUGAUCCAGCCAUGCCGCGUGUGUGAAGAAGGCCUUUUGGUUGUAAAGCACUUUAAGCGAGGAGGAGGCUACUCUAGUUAAUACCUAGAGAUGGUGGACGUUACUCGCAGAAUAACCCCCGGCUCACUCUGUGCCAGCCGCCGCGGUAAUACCGCGGGUGCAAGCGUUGAUCGGAGUUACUGGGCGCAAAGGGCGCGUAGGUGGCCAAUUAAGUCAAAUGUGAAAUCCCCGAGCUUAACUUGGGAAUUGCAUUCGAUACUGGUUGGCUAGAGUAUGGGAGAGGAUGGUAGAAUUCCAGGUGUAGCGGUGAAAUGCGUAGAGAUCUGGAGGAAUACCGAUGGCGAAGGCAGCCAUCUGGCCUAAUACUGACACUGAGGUGCGAAAGCAUGGGGAGCAAACAG
rnacentral:rRNA from 1 species